UGCGCAGGUGGGGAUGUAAGUCAGUGGUGAAAUACUGCCGCUUAACGGUAGAAUUGCCAUUGAUACUGCAUCUCUUGAGUAUGGUUGAGGUAGGCGGAAUGUGUCGUGUAGCGGUGAAAUGCAUAGAUAUGACACAGAACGCCGAUUGCGAAGGCAGCUUACUAAGCCAUACUGACGCUGAGGCACGAAAGCGUGGGGAGCGAACAGGAUUAGAUACCCUGGUAGUCC
rnacentral:rRNA from 1 species